rnacentral:rRNA from 1 species
CCUACGGUAGGCAGCAGUGGGGAAUAUUGGGCAAUGGGCGCAAGCCUGACCCAGCAACGCCGCGUGAAGGAAGAAGGCUUUCGGGUUUUAAACUUCUUUUAAGAGGGAAGAGCAGAAGACGGUACCUCUUGAAUAAGCCACGGCUAACUACGUGCCAGCAGCCGCGGUAAUACGUAGGUGGCAAGCGUUGUCCGGAUUGACUGGGGGUAAAGGGCGUGUAGCCGGGCUGAGAAGUCAGAGGUGAAAUCCGGGGGCUCAACCCCCGAACUGCAUUUGAAACUGUUGGUCUUGAGCAUCGGAGAGGCAGGCGGAAUGCCUAGUGUAGCGGUGAAAGGCGUAGAUAUUAGGAGGAACACCAGUGGCGAAGGCGGCCUGCUGGACGACAACUGACGGUGAGGCGCGAAAGCGUGGGGAGCAAACAGGAUUAGAUACCCGGGUAGUC